rnacentral:rRNA from 1 species
GGCGUAAAGCGAGCGCAGGCGGUCUUUUAAGUCUGAUGUGAAAGCCCACGGCUCAACCGUGGAGGGUCAUUGGAAACUGGAAGACUUGAAUGCAGAAGAGGAAAGUGGAAUUCCAUGUGUAGCGGUGAAAUGCGUAGAUAUAUGGAGGAACACCAGUGGGCGAAGGCGCCUUUCUGGUCUGUAAUUGACGCUGAGGCUCGAAAGCGUGGGGAGCGAACAGGAUUAGAUACCCUGGUAGUCCACGCCGUAGACGAUGAGUGCUAAGUGUUGGACGGGUUUCCGCCCUUCAGUGCUGGAGCUAACGCAUUAAGCACUCCGCCUGGGGAGUACGGCCGCAAGGCUGAAACUCAAAGGAAUAGACGGGGACCCGCACAAGCGGUGGAGCAUGUGGUUUAAUUCGAAGCAACGCGAAGAACCUUACCAGAUCUUGACAUCCUCUGACCACCCAAGAGAUUGGGCUUUCCCUUCGGGGACAGAGUGACAGGUGGUGCAUGGUUGUCGUCAGCUCGUGUCGUGAGAUGUUGGGUUAAGUCCCGUAACGAGCGCAACCCUUAUUGUUAGUUGCCAGCAUUCAGUUGGGCACUCUAGCGAGACUGCCGGUGAUAAACCGGAGGAAGGCGGGGAUGACGUCAAAUCAUCAUGCCCCUUAUGAUCUGGGCUACACACGUGCUACAAUGGAUGGUACAACGAGUCGCGAGACCGCGAGGUUUAGCUAAUCUCCUAAAGCCAUUCUCAGUUCGGAUUGCAGGCUGCAACUCGCCUGCAUGAAGCCGGAAUCGCUAGUAAUCGCGGAUCAGAACG